UUUUAUGUUUUUUGGGAAUUUCAUUUAAGAUACAUAAGUGGAUUAUUGGCUAGUACUUUAAAGGUAUAAUACGUAGUCUAGCUUUUGUCGAUUGGUGUUUGUGAACACAGCGUUUAAGUUGCCCCCCCUACCCAGGUCAAUAAAGAGAGAGAGAGAGAGAACGCAGCAGUGGUCGAGCGAGCUAGAGAGGGAAUUAAAAGAGGGAGUGGCGAACAAGCCUUGGAUCAGAGGAAUAAAACAUUAUUUUCGGAUUGUUUCACGGCGGUUACAUUCUAAAGCA